UCUAGGAAGUGGGAGAAACCGGAAUGAGGUGAAACUGCAGCUCCAGGGCUGGGCCCUCCCAGUGAAGGCCAAGGAUGUGAGGUGGAGACACAAGAGGACUUCAGGGGAAAACAAAAGUCAAGACUGUGGGCCAGGGGGUGCUUGACAUCACAUGCUGCUUCUGGCCUACUGGGGCCCAGGGGAGAGAAGGGCCGUGAUAAAAUAAAGCAGACUCAAAAGCUUG